rnacentral:rRNA from 1 species
UACGGGGGGGGCAAGCGUUGUUCGGAAUUACUGGGCGUAAAAGGCUUGUAGGUGGCCAACUAAGUCCGACGUGAAAUCCCUAGGCUUAACCUAGGAACUGCGUCGGAUACUGGAUGGCUUGAAUCCGGGAGAGGGAUGCGGAAUUCCAGGUGUAGCGGUGAAAUGCGUAGAUAUCUGGAGGAACACCGGUGGCGAAGGCGGCAUCCUGGACCGGUAUUGACACUGAAAAGCGAAAGCCAGGGGAGCAAACGGG